rnacentral:rRNA from 1 species
GUGUCAGCCGCCGCGGUAAUACAGAGGGUGCAAGCGUUAAUCGGAAUUACUGGGCGUAAAGCGCUCGUAGGCGGAUCUUUAAGUCGAUUGUGAAAGCCCCGGGCUCAACCUGGGAAUGGCACUCGAAACUGGAGAUCUAGAGUAUGAUAGAGGAAAGUAGAAUUCCCGGUGUAGCGGUGAAAUGCGUAGAUAUCGGGAGGAAUACCAGUGGCGAAGGCGGCUUUCUGGAUCAAUACUGACGCUGAGGGGCGAAAGCGUGGGGAGCAAACAGGAUUAGAGACCCUGGUAGUCCACGCCGUAAACGAUGAGAACUAGAUGUUGGAGGGCUAGACCCUUUAGUAUCGCAGCUAACGCGUUAAGUUCUCCGCCUGGGGAGUACGGCCGCAAGGUUAAA